AUGUAUGCUAUGCUAUUUACAAGACCUGAUAUAUGCCAUGUCGUGGGUUUGUUGAGUAGAUAUCAAGUGAACCCUGGGCCUGAGCAUUGGAAACAGAUUAGGAACACUUUGCGUUAUGUCAAAGGAACUAUGGACUAUUUUUUGUGUUUUAAUGGACACAAUCUUCAGUUGCAGGGGUUUACUGAUGACCGGAAAUCAACUUCUAGUUAUAUGUUUACACUAGCAGGAGGAGCUAUUUCCUGGAGUAGCAAGAAGCAAGAUUCUAUAGCACUUACACCUAUGGAGGCUGAAUAUAUUGCUGCAUCGGAAGCUGUGAAAGAAGGUGUAUGGUUAAAGGGGUUUCUUGCGUCUCUCGUGGUGGUGGAAAGCACUUCAUAUCCUGUUACUAUUUUCUGUGAUAACCAGGCGGCAAUCAAGGUCUAA
rnacentral:rRNA from 1 species